rnacentral:rRNA from 1 species
CUCCUACGGGAGGCAGCAGUAGGAAUCUUCCGCAAUGGACGAAAGUCUGACGGAGCAACGCCGCGUGAACGAUGAAGGCCUUCGGGUCGUAAAGUUCUGUUGUUAGGGAAGAACAAGUACCAGAGUAACUGCUGGUACCUUGACGGUACCUAACCAGAAAGCCACGGCUAACUACGUGCCAGCAGCCGCGGUAAUACGUAGGUGGCAAGCGUUGUCCGGAAUUAUUGGGCGUAAAGCGCGCGCAGGUGGUUUCUUAAGUCUGAUGUGAAAGCCCACGGCUCAACCGUGGAGGGUCAUUGGAAACUGGGGAACUUGAGUGCAGAAGAGGAAAGUGGAAUUCCAAGUGUAGCGGUGAAAUGCGUAGAGAUUUGGAGGAACACCAGUGGCGAAGGCGACUUUCUGGUCUGUAACUGACACUGAGGCGCGAAAGCGUGGGGAGCGAACAGGAUUAGAUACCCUGGUAGUCCACGCCGUAAACGAUGAGUGCUAAGUGUUAGAGGGUUUCCGCCCUUUAGUGCUGCAGCAAACGCAUUAAGCACUCCGCCUGGGGAGUACGGUCGCAAACUGAAACUCAAAGGAAUUGACGG